rnacentral:rRNA from 1 species
AUUGCCCCAGUAACGGCGAGUGAAGCGGCAACAGCUCAAAUUUGAAAUCUGGCCCGUUUUUGAGGCCCGAGUUGUAAUUUGUAGAGGAUGCUUCGGGCAAGGUGGCGGUCUAAUUCGCUUGGAAUAGUGAGUCACAGAGGGUGAGAGCCCCGUCUGGGAUCGUCUGCCGCGCCCGGGUGAAGCUCCUUCGACGAGUCGAGUUGUUUGGGAAUGCAGCUCUAAAUGGGUGGUAAAUUUCAUCUAAAGCUAAAUACCGGCCAGAGACCGAUAGCGCACAAGUAGAGUGAUCGAAAGAUGAAAAGCACUUUGAAAAGAGAGUUAAACAGUAUGUGAAAUUGUUGAAAGGGAAGCGCUUGCCAUCAGACUUGUGGGGGGCGGUUCCCCCGAUCGUCUGAUCGGGCUAUUCUACCUCCCUCGGGCCAGCAUCGGUUCGGGCGGCCGGUGAAAGACCCCGGGAAUGUAUCUACCCCUCGGGUCGACUUAUAGCCUGGGGUGCAAUGCGGCCCGCCUGGAUCGAGGAACGCGCUUCGGCUCGGAUGCUGGCGUAAUGGUGGCAAGCGGCCCGUCUUGAAACACGGACCAAGGAGUCUAACAUCUGUGCGAGUGUUUGGGUGUCAAACCCGGGCGCGGAAUGAAAGUGAACGGAGGUAAGAACCUCCUUGCGGGGUGCAUUAUCGACCGAUCCUGAAGUCUUCGGAUGGAUUUGAGUAA